GAGCCAUGUUGUGGGCAUGAACUGACAAGAUCUUUGAACUGCUCCCACCAUUGGAAGAAUGUCUCAUCUUCCUUUUGGGCAAAUUUUAUGAUCGACUUUCUGAUGGU